ACGAGUAACGGGGUUUCUUUUCAAGAGCCCCUACUCCCACACCAUGUGUACCUUACCUUUUCGUUGCUUUGGCGGGCCGCACCGGUAAAACGGGGCGCCGAUCGCUCGGAGAGCGCCCGCCAGAGGACCAACCAAACUCUUUAUAACAGAAAGUCUGAGUUAAAUUUCUUAAUUGAAUUA
rnacentral:misc_RNA from 1 species